AAGUGUCUGAGUAGUAAGGACAUAGAGGGGAGGAGCAACCAACUUAAUUUUAACAGGACAAUCAUCGUUUCCAGCAGCUUCAGCUUUACGCAUUGCUUCCUUAAUGUGAAGAACGCCAUCAAAUUGGAAACACUUCAUCUCAAUAUCAGCUCGGACCUUCAACGGUUGGGGAGUCAUUCUUCUUCUAAUAUUCUUUAUUAGUGCAUCUUUUACAUCCUCAGACAUUGCAGGAACUAUCUUAGUUACCUCCUGUCCAUCAGGACCAGCUUCCUUUACUUCACGGGUGAGAGAAUUCAACACCGAGUCAGGGUCAGUUACAAUGAUCUUGAAUGCCUCAAAAGCAUGACCAUAUUUCCGGUACAAAGGCCAUCCA
rnacentral:misc_RNA from 1 species